CUCAUGUUGCGUGGCUCGCUCUUCCAAAAUGACGUGGAGGAAGGUGAAGAGGAAAGCCGCUGAUUUACUGCAGAGAAAUCAGGGAAGGAGAAACCGCAGAGAUGUCAAGGAAGACGGCGACAGGUACAGGUGUGCCCAGCACUACAGAUACAGAACUGCUUUUUUCGGCCUGACUCAGCGUCAAGACUCGACAACAGGUCUCUGAGAUGAACUCAUGCAAACUGCACACGACACCACGGCGGCUCCACAGGACGACAGAUUCAGUGUGGGAAAGAAAAAAAUAAGGUUUGUGCAUGCUGAUAAAGCUGUGCAAAGGCUAACCUGACGUCUCCUGCUGUGCGUUCCUCAUCCGUUUUGAUUGCCGAGCCGAGCCGUGAUUGCUCGGUGGAAAUUGGGGUCCCGGGGAGAGAGAGAGCGGUGUGGAUGUGGCUUUGUAUCGGCUCGGGGGUUCGGAGUGAGAGGGGAGAGCGGCGGCGAAGCAUCGAGAGCUCGGCGG